rnacentral:lncRNA from 1 species
UUGGUUCUUGGCUACCUAAGUUGCACGAGAUUUUCCUUUCACACAACCAAUUCAGUGGAGAUCUACAAUAUGCAAUGCUUCAAAGCUUGAAAAUCUUGAAGUUGCAAACAACAGUUUUACUGGACGGCUUCCCAUGAUGUUAGGUAACCUGCAAAAUAAUCUAUUGGAAAACAAGCCUGGAGCCACAAAACUUGACUUCUUGAAUUCAUUGGUAACUAGCAGGCAUCUGGUGUACCUGAUUCUUCAAUCUAAUCCUUUGAACAGAAUAUUCCCAGAAUCAAUAGGAAAUUUAUCAAGCAACAUCAGGGUCCUUGCUGCCGGAGAAUUUAGUAUUAGAGGCAGUAUGACAAAAAACCUUGGAAAUUUAAGUAGCUUGAUUUACCUGGGAUUAGAAAGUAAUAACCUUGUCGGCAAUGUGGCCCCCUCGUUUGUUGGCCUGCAAAACCUGGAAAGGCUGUAUCUUACUGGAAAUAAAUUAGAAGGGCCAUUUCCAGCUGAACUGUGCAGCAUAGGAAGAUUAGGUCAAUUGCUGGUGGGAGAAAACAGACUAUCAGGAACGGUACCCUCAUGUAUAGGAAACCUGACUGAAUUAAGAGAAAUAUCAAUUGCUGCCAACAGUUUCAGCUCAAAGUUGCCUUCAAGUUUCUGGAGAUUAGUAAAGCUUGAUGGUCUGAACUUAUCCCGAAACCUGCUGCAUGGUUUCUUCCCUUCUGAUGUGGGAACCCUGAAAGCAAUGAGAAUCAUGGACCUCUCUUUUAGUAAGUUUUUUGGAAAAUUAUCCAAUUCCAUAGGGUCCCUUCAAAAUCUAGUUUUACUAGAUAUGUCAAGUAAUGCAUUCCAAGGUCCCACACCAGACGUAUUUAGCAAUCUAAAAGUUCUUGAGCACCUGGAUUUGUCUUCUAAUGCUUUAUCAGGUGUGAUUCCCAACUCUCUUGAGCUAUUGCGAGAUCUCAAGUAUAUCAAUGUUUCUUUCAACAACUUGCAAGGAGAAGUUCCAAAGAAAGGAGUAUUUGCAAAUCUUAAUUACCGGCUCUUGAUGGGAAAUCCAAAACUUUAGCACCUAAUAUAUUUAUUCCUUUAUGUCCAGCUCAAGGCAGAGCGACAACAAGGAAAAAGUCCCUUAUCCUUAGAACGAUAUUACCUUUUGCUGCAUCAUUUCUGAUAUUGGUCGCGUUGUUUUUCACAUGGAUGAUUUGGUCAAGGAGAAAACAUGUGGUUGGAAACAAUGAAUCAGAUUCCCCACCUAGAAUGGGAUAUCAAAAAAUCACUUAUUAUGAGCUUCUCCAAGCUACAGAAAAUUUCAGUCAGUCCAACCUAGUAGGAAGUGGAAGUUCCGGUACAGUCUACCGAGGUACAUUUGCUAGCGGUACUGUCUUUGCAAUCAAAGUUUUCAAUAUGCAACGGCAAGGGGGUUUAAGAAAUUUUGAGCAAUGUAAGACACAGGAACUUGGUCAAGAUAGUGUCAACUUGCUCAAAUGUUGGAUUUCACAGCAAUGGUGUUGGAGUACAUGCCUAAUGGAAGCUUAAACAAGAAAUUAUACUCCGAAAAAAAUUGCUUGCACCUGGUUGAAAGACUCAAUAUAAUGAUCGACAUACCACUGGCCAUGGAGUAUCUUCAUCAUGAUUAUACAGUGCCUGUCAUGCACUGUGAUCUGAAGCCAGCUAAUGUGCUUCUUGAUCAGGAUCUUACUGCUCAUGUAGCAGAUGUUGGAAUUGCAAAAAUGCUGGCACAAGAAGGAAACAUUGCUCAAACCAAAACACUCGGAACUAUUGGUUAUAUUGCUCCAGGUAUGGUAAUGUCUUGAACUGCAGGUGUCCUACGCUGGUUUCUUUUUUCCUUUACGUCUACCGUAACGUUGAUUUUCAUACCCUCUGUAGUAAUCGAUUUCUCAUGGGAAAUUCGCAUAGGCAAGAAACUUCUACUUUUAUAACAGUGACAGUGCAACAUUUUGUACUAUAACAUGGGUAACUACACAUUCAAGUACCAAAGAACACAACCUAUUGUUGUAAGAAUAGUAACCAAAUAAGUUCCAAUCAUUUCUUCCUGGCAUAUAUCUAUCACAUUUUAACUAGGAGUUUAUUGCAACAGAAUAUGGCUUAGAUGGACAAGUCUCCACCAGCAGUGAUGUUUAUAGCUUUGGGAUUUUGUUGCUUGAGACAUUCACAAGAAAGAAGACUACCAAUGACAAGUUCAGAGGAAACUUAAGCUUGCAUAAAUGGGUAUGUCUCUCCUUUCCUGAUGCUGUACUGGACAUUUUGGACGCUGACCUUGUUAGUGACAUUGGCUUUAGAAGAGUUACAGUUGAUGAAAACCAAAGCCAAAUCAAACAGUUGCUGGUUUUGAUCAUAAAUGUGGCAUUCCUAUGUUUGAAAGAGUUACCAGAGGAAAGGAUAAACAUGAGAGAGGUUGUGGUGCAGCUAAAGAAGAUAAGAGCCGAAUUAACCAAUCUUGACUCAUAUAGAAUAUGAGAAAGAGGACUGAUACAGCAACAAGAAGAUUCAGUUUUUCGAUUUCCUGCAUAUGCAUAUACUAGCUAUCUGGACUAUUUCCCCACAUUGCUCAUCUUUUUAAGGGCUAUCAUGGAAAUUCUACAUUUGAAAAUUCUUGUUAAAAGUUGCUUUAAGGAAUAAUGCACGCAAUUUAUUUUUGACUUUCUUUUUUUUUUUUUUUUACAUACAACUCAUAGUCAAAUUAGAUUCCUAUUUGUGGUAGGAGAUUGAUUAGUUAUUAUUUUUUGUAGCAAAUAGGUUUUCUUUUAUGGUAAAUUUAAUCUAUUUUUAGUUGUAAUAGCACUAUUUAAGAAGGAGUUGAUGAUCAAUAAAAUACAGAGCUUUACAAAAAAAAAAAACUCUCUGCGUUCUUCUCUAACUCAUGUCUAUUAAAACCAACAAUUGGUAUCUAGAGCCAUUUUUCUUGAGGAACCUGUGAAUGAAGAGAUGGAUUCUGAAAAUAGUUUUUCACGAAUGACUCCAUCCAUUUUUUAUGGUGAAAAUUAUCAAUUAUGAAUUGUGAGAAUGAAAACUUCCUCGGAGGCUUUUGAUAUAUUGGAAGUUGUGGAAGAGGAUUAUGAAAGUAAUUCGCUGCCAAAUAAUUCCACUAUAGCCCAAAUCAAGAGUCACAAAGAAAAGAAAAUCACGAAGUCCAUGGCGAAGGCAACUCUGUUUGUAGUUUACAAGAAUUAUGUCUCUCAUAUCACCAAAAGAAAUUUGGGAUUAUAUGAAGAAAGAAUAUGCUGGAGAUGAAAGAAUUCAAGGAAUGCAAGUACUGAAUUUAAUAAGAGAGUUUGAGUUGCAAAGAAUGAAAGACUCCGAGACAGUCAAAGAGUAUUCGGACAGAUUACUUGGCAUUGUUAACAAGGUAAGAUUACUAGGCACUGAAUUUAAAGAUUCAAGAAUUGUUGAAAAAAUUCUUGUUACAGUGCCCGAAAGGUAUGAAGCAUGUAUAACUACCUUGGAAAAUACACAAGAUUUGUCCAAAAUUACCUUGGCAGAGUUGUUAAAUUCUUUUCGGGAACUGAAACAAAGAAAACUUAUGAGGCUGGUUAUCAUGGUUGAAGGAACCUUAAUAGCCAACCACAAAACUCAAAGAAUGGGUAAAAAUAUAAAAAAAAUCACCCACCUUGUGAGCACUGUGGAAAAAUUGUUCAUCUGAGUCAUCCACCAUAUAGAUGUUGGAAAAGGCCAGACGCGAAGUGCAACAAGUGCAAUCAACUUGGCCAUGAAGCAGUUAUUUGCAAAAGAAAAUUUGAAAACCAUGAAGCAGAUGAACGUGUGGUCAAUGAAGAAGAAGAAGAAAAAAAAGAAGACAAUCUGUUUGUUGUAACAUGUAUCUCAAGUAAGGUUUCAACAAAUUUUUUGUUGAUUGAUAGCGGUUGCACCAACCACAUGACUUAUAACAAGAGUUUGUUUAAAGAAUUAAAGCCUGUUGAAAUAUCCAAAGUUAGGAUCGAAAAUGAUGAUCAGAUUUUUGUUGAUGGAAAAGAAACUGUUGUCUUUAAAACAAGUUCAGGUAAUAAAGCAAUUUCAGAUGUUCUUUAUGCACCUGAUAUUGAUCAAAUCUUGUUGAGUAUUUGUCAGUUGGUAGAAAAGGGAUACAAAGUAUUCUUUGAAGAUAAACAUUACUUCAUCAAUGAUGGUGUUGGAAAAGAAAUUUUAAACAUUAAGAUGAGAGGUAAACAUUUCGAACAUUUCUCAUUUAAUCUAAUGGAAGAUGUUUCUGUAGAACAUGUAAAAGAUCAUAGGAUGAAAAAAUUAGAAGAUAAUCCUCUAAUUGAAAAAGCACAAGCAAUAUGUGAACCUCUUAGGUUUAAAGGAGAUUUCAAUGUUUCUAAAGGAAUUAAGCAAUAAAGAGUAUCUAUGUUUCAGAAAAAUAAAAUGGGUAAAUUCAAAUUCAAGAUGCAAACAAAGAAUGAAGACACGCCAAAAGGAUUUAUUAGUCAAGGGUUGCGUUCAAGACGAGAAGUGAAUUUAGUUCAUUACAGGCCAAAAGAUGAAUCUGCAGAUUUAUUCACAAGGAAACUUUCGGUUAUCAAGUGUGGAGAUCCCAAGACAGAAAAUCAAAAUUUUGCAGUUUCUAAAGCAAGGAGGAGUGUUAAAAGUUGCUUUAAGGAAUAAUGCACCCAAUUUUAUUUUUUUUUAUUUUUAUUUUUUUUUACAUACAACUCCUAGUCAAAUUGGGAUUCUUAUUUGUUGUAGGAUACUGAUUAGUUAUUAUUUUUGGCAGCGAAUAGUUUUCUUUUAUGGUAAAUUUAAUCUAUUUUUAGUUAUAACAAUACUAUUUAAAAAGGAGUUGAUGAUCAAUAAAAUAGAGAACGUUUACAAAAAGAACUCUUUGUAUUCUUCUCUAACUCAUUUCUAUUAAACGAACACUUAUCCUAAGUUCUUAAAGUGAAUAGUUUUCGUGGUGUAUAUUAAUUCACAUCAAAUGUAGUCCUACAAGUCUUUUCUAUAUGAAUCCAUUUAAUAUCCAACUAUCUCAUUCCACUGCCAAAGGAGUGAUUCGUUCGGUUCCUCUUCAUGUUAAGCCAAGUAUUAACCUGUUUCUAACAUUUGUCAAAUUUUCUUAUCGUUCAGUUGAUUAUGCUUCAUUUUGUACUCAAUGACAUCAGCACCUGCACCAAACUUCAUAAAUAUUACACAAUAAGAAGCAAGAACUGAAGUCAUCUCAGGACACGGUUCUCUUAAUCUCCAUCUAUAAUUUUUUUCUCUUACCACUAAAACUCGAGUCUAAUUCUAUGUAAGAAACCUAUUUUACCUGGCGGGGGACCUACAAUUGCAGGAGGUGCACCACUUCCUCUCUAGAAUUGUGGCUAAAAAUAGUUAAGGACUGGACCUAGAAGUAGUUCAAAAUUCCAUCAAUGAAUCUUUUAUUGCGAUAAGACGAUUAGCCAGCAGUGAGAAGGGAUAUUUCGCUUCACGUAUAUUGGUUCUUAGACUUUAUCCUAGACUUGAUAGCUAAGUUAAUGUAGAAGCUGUUAGAACAUGCACAGCGGAAGCAACAUUUCUACGAGAUCAAUAACUUACAUAAUAUCUAGAUAACAUAAUCAAAACGAGAAUCAGAAAACUUACUUUUUAAAGCUUUCACAAAAUUCGCUCAACACUUUAUUUUUUAUGACUGCGAUCUUCUACCAAAAUCGAAUUAACUUUUUUCAAUCAACACUUGAGUGGCAAGUUAUUAUUUUUCAGAAAGCAGGAUGAACUUGAAUCAAAAAUCAACCCCUAUUUAUUUUCAAUUUCUAAUGAAGAAGGGAAGAUAAGGGGCAAAACGUUUUUGCCCUUAUU